CCCGGGCUGCGUUCGGACCCCUGUCGUAUAGAAAAUCCCAAGUAAGGUACCUGCCGUCGGCAGAUCUGAGCUUUCUUCUUGGACACCUAAUACCCACAGUCCUCCAGACCCCUGUCGGAUAGUAAAUCCCAAGUAAGGUACCUUCUGCUGGAAGAUCUGAGCUUUCUUCUUGGACACCUAAAACCCACAGUCCUCCAGUGAAGGAUCCAGUGAGAUUUUCCAGGUUAACGGUCAUAAUCGCCUACUGGUCCAACGUUCAGAAGUAACACAGGCACCUGGACAAUACACAGUAGAUGUGGAAGGACACGGUUGUACAUUUAUCCAGGCCACCCUUAAGUACAAUGUUCUCCUACCUAAGAAGGCAUCUGGAUUUUCUCUUUCCUUGGAAAUAGUAAAGAACUACUCUUCGACUGCUUUUGACCUCACAGUGACCCUCAAAUACACUGGAAUUCGCAAUAAAUCCAGUAUGGUGGUUAUAGAUGUAAAAAUGCUAUCAGGAUUUACUCCAACCAUGUCAUCCAUUGAAGAGCUUGAAAACAAGGGCCAAGUGAUGAAGACUGAAGUCAAGAAUGACCAUGUUCUUUUCUACUUGGAAAAUAGCAACCUUGUGUUCAACAUUCAGCCAGCCCCAGCCAUGGUCUACGAUUACUAUGAAAAAGAAGAAUAUGCCCUAGCUUUUUACAACAUCGACAGUAGUUCAGUUUCCGAGUGAGACAAAGCAAUUACUAGAAGAGUUGGAGAAGCAUUUCUUGUAACAAACUGAUUCUUCUGUAUCAAACCUGGAAAAAAAUCAUGAACCAUCUGACAUCGUGAACAGUCUGCAGUGGGCUAUGGUUUCUUGUCAAGUCUUAUUUCCUUAUCAUCCCAUUAAAUGUUGUCAUUUUGCAUCUGA